GAUGAACGCUGGCGGCGUGCCUAAUACAUGCAAGUCGAGCGAACGGACGAGAAGCUUGCUUCUCUGAUGUUAGCGGCGGACGGGUGAGUAACACGUGGAUAACCUACCUAUAAGACUGGGAUAACUUCGGGAAACCGUAGCUAAUACCGGAUAAUAUUUUGAACCGCAUGGUUCAAAAGUGAAAGACGGUCUUGCUGUCACUUAUAGAUGGAUCCGCGCUGCAUUAGCUAGUUGGUAAGGUAACGGCUUACCAAGGCGACGAUGCAUAGCCGACCUGAGAGGGUGAUCGGCCACACUGGAACUGAGACACGGUCCAGACUCCUACGGGAGGCAGCAGUAGGGAAUCUUCCGCAAUGGGCGAAAGCCUGACGGAGCAACGCCGCGUGUGUGAUGAAGGUCUUCGGAUCGUAAAACUCUGUUAUUAGGGAAGAACAUAUGUGUAAGUAACUGUGCACAUCUUGACGGUACCGAAUCAGAAAGCCACGGCUAACUACGUG
rnacentral:rRNA from 1 species